rnacentral:rRNA from 1 species
AGUGAACGCUGGCGGCAGGCCUAACACAUGCAAGUCGAACGGCAGCACAAGAGAGCUUGCUCUCUGGGUGGCGAGUGGCGGACGGGUGAGGAAUGCAUCGGAAUCUGCCCAUUUGUGGGGGAUAACCUCGGGAAACCGGGACUAAUACCGCAUACGACCUACGGGUGAAAGCAGGGGAUCCUCGGACCUUGCGCAGAUGGAUGAGCCGAUGCCGGAUUAGCUAGUUGGAGGGGUAAAGGCCCACCAAGGCGUCGAUCCGUAGCUGGUCUGAGAGGAUGAUCAGCCACACUGGGACUGAGACACGGCCCAGACUCCUACGGGAGGCAGCAGUGGGGAAUAUUGGACAAUGGGCGCAAGCCUGAUCCAGCCAUGCCGCGUGUGUGAAGAAGGCCUUCGGGUUGUAAAGCACUUUUGUUGGGAAAGAAAAGCAGCCGGUUAAUACCCGGUUGUCAUGACGGUACCCAAAGAAUAAGCACCGGCUAACUUCGUG